GUACCGUGAGGGAAAGGCGAAAAGAACCCCGGCGAGGGGAGUGAAAAAGAACCUGAAACCGUGUACGUACAAGCAGUGGGAGCACGCUUAGGCGUGUGACUGCGUACCUUUUGUAUAAUGGGUCAGCGACUUAUAUUCUGUAGCAAGGUUAACCGAAUAGGGGAGCCGAAGGGAAACCGAGUCUUAACUGGGCGUUAAGUUGCAGGGUAUAGACCCGAAACCCGGUGAUCUAGCCAUGGGCAGGUUGAAGGUUGGGUAACACUAACUGGAGGACCGAACCGACUAAUGUUGAAAAAUUAGCGGAUGACUUGUGGCUGGGGGUGAAAGGCCAAUCAAACCGGGAGAUAGCUGGUUCUCCCCGAAAGCUAUUUAGGUAGCGCCUCGUGAAUUCAUCUCCGGGGGUAGAGCACUGUUUCGGCAAGGGGGUCAUCCCGACUUACCAACCCGAUGCAAACUGCGAAUACCGGAGAAUGUUAUCACGGGAGACACACGGCGGGUGCUAACGUCCGUCGUGAAGAGGGAAACAACCCAGACCGCCAGCUAAGGUCCCAAAGUCAUGGUUAAGUGGGAAACGAUGUGGGAAGGCCCAGACAGCCAGGAUGUUGGCUUAGAAGCAGCCAUCAUUUAAAGAAAGCGUAAUAGCUCACUGGUCGAGUCGGCCUGCGCGGAAGAUGUAACGGGGCUAAACCAUGCACCGAAGCUGCGGCAGCGACGCUGAUGCGUUGUUGGGUAGGGGAGCGUUCUGUAAGCCUGUGAAGGUGUGCUGUGAGGCAUGCUGGAGGUAUCAGAAGUGCGAAUGCUGACAUAAGUAACGAUAAAGCGGGUGAAAAGCCCGCUCGCCGGAAGACCAAGGGUUCCUGUCCAAC
rnacentral:rRNA from 1 species